rnacentral:rRNA from 1 species
AUACGGAGGGUCCAAGCGUUAUGCGGAAUCAUUGGGUUUAAAGGGUCCGCAGGCGGUCAAUUAAGUCAGAGGUGAAAGCCCAUCGCUCAACGAUGGAACUGCCUUUGAUACUGGUUGACUUGAGUUAUACGGAAGUAGAUAGAAUAAGUAGUGUAGCGGUGAAAUGCAUAGAUAUUACUUAGAAUACCGAUUGCGAAGGCAGUCUACUACGUAUAUACUGACGCUGAGGGACGAAAGCGUGGGGAGCGAACAGGAUUAGAAACCCUAGUAGUCC